rnacentral:piRNA from 1 species
UCCAAAAAGCAAAGGUUUUUUCCUACCCCC